CUGACAGCACGGCGUUGAAUCCCAAUGGGAUUUGCUUCUUUUUUUAUUUUUUUGUUUUUGGACAACAAUCCCAAUGGGAUUACAAUUUACAAUAGCUAACUGCCUUAAAUUCCUUUCUUACAUCGGUCCCUUUAUAUUCUGUUCACAUAUAUUACAAUCACAAAAACCUUUCUUACAAAUUGGUCUGUGUUCACAUAUAUCGCACAAUCACAAAAACCGUUUCUCUUUACAGCAGCUAUUUUAAUCUUGCAACCCCAUCUGUUCCCACCACCAUCUCUCUGAUUCAAUUUUUUUCUCAAGAACAAGAAUGGGAAGUAACGGAAAUAGUUGGGCGGAUCAGUGGGGCAGUCAAUACGACGUCGGAUAUGAAGAUGAUGGCGGCAAAGGAAAAAGCAGCGGCAAGAAGAUGGAGAAGGUAACGGCGGCGGCAUCGGCGAGUUUCGACAAGGCGAAGGCAGCGGCGGCAGUGGGGGCUGACAAGGCAAAGUCUGCGGCUGUGGUGGGUCCAAAGAAGGUAAAGAGUGGCACUUCUCUUGGGUUUAAAUGGAUUAAGGACAAGUGCCAAAAGGGAAGCUCUACAAAGUAAUUUGAGGGGAAAAACAAAAACAAAGAGAAAAUGUCUGAAAAGUGGAAGAAUGAUUAAUGAAGGAUUUUUAAGGCCUACAUAUACAUACUCAUCAUAAUGCAUUGUUUUGAUGAAUUUUCAUUUUAUUCUUUCAUACACUAUUUUUUAUGUGGAAGAAGAUGAGCUGAGCUUACAAUUUAUCUAUUUGGAAGAAAAUGAACUGCCUUUACAAUUA